UACGUAGGGGGCAAGCGUUGUCCGGAUUUAUUGGGCGUAAAGAGCGUGUAGGCGGCCAUACAGGUCAGCUGUGAAAACUCGAGGCUCAACCUCGAGACGUCGGUUGAAACCGUCUGGCUAGAGUCCGGAAGAGGAGAGUGGAAUUCCCGGUGUAGCGGUGAAAUGCGCAGAUAUCGGGAAGAACACCCGUGGCGAAGGCGGCUCUCUGGGACGGUACUGACGCUGAGACGCGAAAAGCGUGGGGGAGCGAACAGG
rnacentral:rRNA from 1 species